GUUUGUUCCCCUACACUGUGAGUGGCCACUCCCUUCAAAUCCUAGUAGAGUUAUGCUGUAGAAAAUCUCAUUUUUGUCCACCAGCCUGAGCCCGGUAAUAGUAACCCCAGCCCAACCAUCCUAUACCAGGAAGAACUGUCAAGUGCCCUUGUCCCAGCAUGCCUGAAGUAUUCCGGGCAUUGGUAGCCUUGAAGGUCCAGUGUGGGGGAAGAGGGAACAGGAGAGCUUCUCACAGGGAAUAGGAGCAAAGGUCCAGGCAGGGCACCUUCAAGGCGGAGAGAACCUGGAAAUGGAAGACUUACAAAAGCCACACACCGGAGUGUCAGCAAAAUCCUAAGCCCUAAGAUCAUUUCUCUAGAAAUCCUGGGGUGCGUACGAGGAAAUUAAACUUGUGCAGAAGAUGGUGCGUAAAUAAGUUGGAGCAUGGAGCACGGGGUCAAGGAUAACAUUAGCGUGGCCUGGGAUGCAGUGUGGGGAAUGGCCACGAGGAGGAAGAAAUGAAUGCAAGCAGCAGGAUAGAUGGGACCAACCUCUCACAGGUGGCAUGGAAGGCCGCAGGACUGUCACAUCCACGGCUCUAACCCCAAGUAUAGCCCUGUUUCCCAUGAACAAUGUGAUUAAGGCAAAUGUAUCUGCAUGGAAUCCAAAUAAGUCAUCUAAAGAUUAAUAUUACAGGACUGAUUCCGAGCUGGAAGCUCUGAGACAUAUUUACGCUCGGGGAAGUUGUUUGGUUUUUAUUUCCCCCAUAGCUGGUAUAUAUCAGUGAAGGCUGCAUGUAAUGAAUAACAGCAUGUAUGAUAAAUUUUAAAGCAAAC
rnacentral:lncRNA from 1 species